GCAGUCGAGCGAUGGAUUAAGAGCUUGCUCUUAUGAAGUUAGCGGCGGACGGGUGAGUAACACGUGGGUAACCUGCCCAUAAGACUGGGAUAACUCCGGGAAACCGGGGCUAAUACCGGAUAACAUUUUGAACCGCAUGGUUCGAAAUUGAAAGGCGGCUUCGGCUGUCACUUAUGGAUGGACCCGCGUCGCAUUAGCUAGUUGGUGAGGUAACGGCUCACCAAGGCAACGAUGCGUAGCCGACCUGAGAGGGUGAUCGGCCACACUGGGACUGAGACACGGCCCACACUCCUACGGGAGGCAACAUUAGGGAAUCUUCCGCAAUGGACGAAAGUCUGACGGAGCAACGCCGCAAGGGUGAUGAAGGCUUUCGGUUCUUAAAACUCUGUUGGGGGGGAAGAACAAGUGCUAGUUGAAUAAGGUGGCACCUUGACGAAACCUAACCAAAAAGCCACGGCUAACUACGCGCCAACACCCGGGGGAGCACGUAGGUGGCAAGCGUUUUCCGGAAUUAUUGCGCGUAGCGCGCGCGCAGGUGGUUUCUUAAAUCUCAUGUGACACCCCGCGACUCACCUGCAGAGUGUCAU
rnacentral:rRNA from 1 species